UUUGAAAAAAGCCGUAUUCUUCCCGUGGUUGACUCAUUGUCGGAAAGCUGGCGACUUUGGGACAAACUGGACCGGUCCUAUCCGCUCCCCCCCACCUUUCCGGCUCCAGUGGAGCAGGCCUGCCCCGCCCUGCCCCGCCCCGCCCCGUCCGGGACAGAGCAGACCUUCAGGACUGCGGGGGAAAGAAAGGGCACCCGGCCCCAGGGGCCCCAGGGCUGAGUCGGGGAUAAAAGUGGCCGAGGGGAGGCUUUGCUGGAGGCUUCUUUUCCUGCCUGCCCUUUCUGUGGGGUUGUAGUAGAGACUGUAUGUCUACAGCUGGGACUGCAUGCAUGGCCAUGAAUAUAGCAAGGAGAAAGUCAACAUACCUACCACAGUGCUAAACAUUAGUAACUGAAUGAAUGGGUAAGAGUAAUAAUAACUUCUUCUUACUUGGCCCCUUCUUAAUCCAUAUUCCCUGUUAGCUUUGUAGAAACAAAGGGGUAGCAUCUAGAGCUUGGCAAUUUCUGACACCCUACUCAUGUCCUUAAAUUUUGGAGUCCCGGAGAAGAUUCUGGUGGAUGUUUCCCUUUUACUCUCCCAUUAUCACAUUUAGGUGAGACCAGCAAUGGCAACUCACUGAUGUAUACAUAUAGUGUAACACUGCAUUUUAUUCAAAGGCAGGGAUCACAACCAUUCGGAAUAGAAAAUAUCAACUUAGUAGGUAAAGAUCCUUGUAAGUCUGAGAACUACUGGAUACCAAAACAGGUGGGCUUCCGAGGUAAUUUAAAAAGAUACAUAACUCAUGGAAAACUGUAUAGAGUUACUACAUUGCAGUGAAAUGACAACAAUCAUAAAGAAAAUGGAGUUCACGUUACCAUCAGUUCACAACAAGUGAUGCUCUAUAAGCAGUCCCCAACCAUUUUGGCACCAGGGAUCAGUUUCACGAAAGACAAUUUUUCCACAGAACGGGGUGGGGGCGGGGAGGUGGAGUUGGGGCAGUGGAGAGCCAUAGGGAGUGGUAUAAAUACAGAUGAAGCUUCACUGCUUGCCUGCUGCUCACCUCCUGCUGUGAGCCUCUUUUUCUCCCCCCCCCCAUUCCAAAGUCUCAUGGAAGACAAUUUUUCAAUGGGGUGGGGGUGGGGAGGGGGGUUGGAAUGAGAGGGCAGCUGAGCUUUGCAGCCUGGGUUUGGGGACCACAGCUCUAUAUAAUAGAAAUAAUAUUAAUGCCAAGAUUUUGUAGGCAAUGCAAAGCAUAUGGUCUUUGCCAAAUUCUCACAGCUCCAUAAUAAAACUAUUCAUUGGCUAGUAAAGUACGUGGCCAAACCAACAGGUUUUUGGAGAAAAAUGGUAAAAAUUGGCGAUAUGAUUCACUCUCAGGUAAAAAUAUAUGAUGUCUAAUCUUCUCUAUGGAGCUAUGUUUAUAUCCACUGAAAAUUCUAUUUGGCCUUUAAGAGUUCCAGCAGUAUCCCUAUCAAUACUAUUAUAUUAAAUAAAUAAGAUAACCUAUGUAAAACAUCCA